UACGUAGGGUGCAAGCGUUAAUCGGAAUUACUGGGCGUAAAAGCGUGCGCAGGCGGUUGUGCAAGACAGAUGUGAAAUCCCCCGGGCUCAACCUGGGGAAUUGCAUUUGUGACUGCACGGCUAGAGUGUGUCAGAGGGGGGGUAGAAUUCCAACGUGUAGCAGUGAAAUGCGUAGAUAUGUGGAGGAAUACCGAUGGCGAAGGCAGCCCCCGUGGGAUAACACUGACGCUCAUGCAACGAAAGCGUGGGGAGCAAACAGG
rnacentral:rRNA from 1 species